GUGCAAACUCCACACAGACAGUCGCUCAAGGCUGGAAUUGAAUCUGGGACCCUGGUGCUGGUCACUGUUGUGGUUGGAACUUACAGUUGCCUCACCAGUCUGGAUCUGGAUCCACCUUCAUUGAGGUUGCAAUAUUCUGCCCGAUACCGGAGAUUACAGCAAGAAAUGUGAAGCUGGCAGUCAGGGAUACCGAGAUGGAAAUGUGUUGUUGGAAAAGCGCAGCAGAGCACAGACAUGGAUUCCUCUCUGAAGUCUCACAGACACCUUGAUGAAGAGAAUGAAAAGCAUUGCCAAAGGAUUAAUGCUGGAAAAAUGUUCCUCGGUAGUAAACACCAUGUGGGAUUCCUACCACAAGUUCUUGCACUCUCCAAAAGCCAAGCCUGGAAUGAAGACACUGCUGGUUUCUCCUUCAAUGAUCUGAUCCUUUGGCUCUGGAACACUCUGAUUUUGAAAUAAGAAGUGUGAUAUGAUGUUGAUCAAGAAUUCUUUUUUAUUGUAAAAUACUUAGCAUUUAACAAGAACGUAGAUCUGUGCCCAGAUCAUCUAGUGAGCUCCCAGCAGGAGAUACAGCUGUAUAAUGGUUUGAUUUUUUGUUAUUCUCUAUUGGGGAUGCAGUUAUUGUUCUGUGUCAAGAUUAAUAUUCACUUCAACAGCUUCAGUUGAUGCAGUGUGAAUGACUGUGACACCACCACGGAUUAGUCUGUCAGGGCAGGAGUUCAGUCUGUGGUCGAUGGUCAGACUUGGCCGGCCACAGUCACAAUUCCAGCUGCUCGUUAUGUUACACUUAUGGAGCAAAUGAUCACUUCUUCCUCCUCCAUCCUCAAACAUUUGAGGAUUGUCCAGAUUUUUCCUGGAUGGUUGAAACCUGGGACUUUGCUGCUUGGGUUAAUUACCAGGUAGUGUUUGACAAUGUAUAGGACAAGGUGCAGCUGUCACUGGUUUGCAGAGUAUGGGAUGUUUUCCAGUGGUGACUAUGGCAUUUCAGGUAAUCCUAGGAGUUUUUUUAAGGUCCUGUGUCAAUGGGAGUGCAUUGUUAACUGUCGAUCAGUACUUUCUUUGAGGAGGCUGAUUUCCUGGCAACACCAAGAAGUUCAAUGGGUGCUAGAACAGACAUUUGAGAUGUUUUACUUUUAAUGUCCUAGUAAUAAUUCUCAUGACUUCCUAUCAGUGAUUAGUUACCAUAUUAUAGCAGCUCCUGAGUUAGGUUGAGCAAUAGUAUUCAAUUGCUGGGCAGACUUCCUGAUGAAGGGCUUUUGCCCAAAACGUUGAUUUUCCUGCUCCUUGGAUGCUGCCUGACUUGCUGUGCUUU